AGCAGCCGCGGUAAUUCCAGCUCCAAUAGCGUAUAUUAAAGUUGUUGCAGUUAAAAAGCUCGUAGUUGAAUUUCGGGGUCAGUAAGUUGGUCGUGCCACUGGUAUGUACUGGCUUUACUGAUUCCUCCUUCUUGUAGAACCGUAAUGCCAUUAAGUUGGUGUUGCGGGAAAACAGGACUGUUACUUUGAAAAAUUAGAGUGUUUAAAGCAAGCUAACGCUUGAAUACAUUAGCAUGGAAUAAUGAAAUAGGACGAACGAUCCUAUUUUGUUGGUUUCUAGGAUUGACGUAAUGAUUAAUAGGGAUAGUUGGGGGCAUUAGUAUUCAAUUGUCGGAGGUGAAAUUCUUGGAUUUAUUGAAGACUAACUACUGCGAAAGCAUUUGCCAAGGAUGUUUUCAUUAAUCAAGAACGAAAGUUAGGGGAUCGCAGACGAUCAGAUACCGUCGUAGUCUUAACCAUAAACUAUGCCGACUAGGGAUCGGAUGAUGUUAAUUUUUUCAAUGACUCAUCCGGCGCCUUA
rnacentral:rRNA from 1 species